CUACUCCUACGGGGAGGCAGCAGUAGGGAAUCUUCCGCAAUGGGCGAAAGCCUGACGGAGCAAUGCCGCGUGAGUGAUGAAGGUUUUCGGAUCGUAAAGCUCUGUUGCCAGGGAAGAACGCUUGGGAGAGUAACUGCUCUCAAGGUGACGGUACCUGAGAAGAAAGCCCCGGCUAACUACGUGCCAGCAGCCGCGGUAAUACGUAGGGGGCAAGCGUUGUCCGGAAUUAUUGGGCGUAAAGCGCGCGCAGGCGGUCAUUUAAGUCUGGUGUUUAAUCCCGGGGCUCAACCCCGGAUCGCACUGGAAACUGGGUGACUUGAGUGCAGAAGAGGAGAGUGGAAUUCCACGUGUAGCGGUGAAAUGCGUAGAUAUGUGGAGGAACACCAGUGGCGAAGGCGACUCUCUGGGCUGUAACUGACGCUGAGCGCGUGGCUGCUUG
rnacentral:rRNA from 1 species